rnacentral:rRNA from 1 species
UAAGGAAUAUUGGACAAUGGGCGCAAGCCUGAUCAGCCAUGCCGCGUGAAGGAUUAAGGUCCUCUGGAUUGUAAACUUCUUUUAUAAGGGACGAAAAAAGGGAAUUCUUUCUCACUUGACGGUACCUUAUGAAUAAGCACCGGCUAACUCCGUGCCAGCAGCCGCGGUAAUACGGAGGGUGCAAGCGUUAUCCGGAUUCACUGGGUUUAAAGGGUGCGUAGGCGGGUAUUUAAGUCAGUGGUGAAAUCCUAGAGCUUAACUCUAGAACUGCCAUUGAUACUAUUUAUCUUGAAUAUUGUGGAGGUAAGCGGAAUAUGUCAUGUAGCGGUGAAAUGCUUAGAUAUGACAUAGAACACCUAUUGCGAAGGCAGCUUACUACGCAUAUAUUGACGCUGAGGCACGAAAGCGUGGGGAUCAAACAGG